rnacentral:rRNA from 1 species
GGAAGCAGCCCGAAGAGCACGACAGUCAAUGCCGGAUUCAAAAGCUCUCGGCAGAAUCAGAAAAAGCCGCCCCUCAAGGAUGACAGGGACGAGCUCUCUAACCUCAACAAAAUCUUGGAAAAAAUAUGCCAAACCAACAGUACUCCCGGGAAGCCUGCAAACCAUACCCAUAGAGAUUGUUGGGUCUUCAAGCAAUCCGGCAAACUCAACGCCGAACACAAGGGGCUCGACAUACCAAGCGAGGACGACGACGAACCCCACAAGAAGAGCACCGGAGAACAAAAGAAGUUCCCGCAGUAA